GCCGAUGUAGCUCAAGGGCAGAGCAACUGAUUUGUAAUCAGUGGGUUGGAGGUUCGAUUCCUCUCAUCGGCU
rnacentral:tRNA from 1 species